rnacentral:rRNA from 1 species
AUUUGAGAUGGGCGAAGCCUGACCGCAACGCCGCGUGGGUGAUGUAGGCCUUCGGGUCGUAAAGCCCUGUCAGCAGGGAAGAAACUCCGGGGAGCGAAUAGGUCUCCGGAUUGACGGUACCUGCGGAGGAAGCACCGGCUAACUCCGUGCCAGCAGCCGCGGUAAAACGGAGGGUGCAAGCGUUGUUCGGAAUUACUGGGCGUAAAGCGCGUGCAGGUGGUCUUCUAAGUUCUGUGUGAAAUCCCCCGGCUUAACCGGGGAACGGCGCGGAAUACUGGAAGACUUGAAUACGGGAGAAGUGGGCGGAAUUCCCAGUGUAGAGGUGAAAUUCGUAGAUAUUGGGAGGAACACCGGCGGCGAAAGCGGCUCACUAGACCGAUAUUGACACUCAUACGCGAGAG